UGGGGCAGUGCGGCGCAAAACUCUCGAGCUCUCUGUUUGGUCGCUCGAACAUAGAGAAAGAAAAAUAACUUUUUUUUCUUUCUCUAUGGCUCGAAGUAGCGGUAGGGUUCUUUAUUCUAUGGCGAUAGCGUGCUGAGCUAGCGGCUGGAACGAUGCUUGUGUCGCGGCGUGUUGACGAAGCCCUGACGAGAAAGCGACGGCAUCGUAAAAGGAAAAGCCUGUCUAAUGGGGACGAAGUAGUUCAGAUGUUUGCAUUUGGCACAUCAACGUGGCACACAAGUGAGGCCUGUUUUGCCAAGUGGUGCAGAAUUCACGCUACCAGCUCCACUACAGUGUCAGCAUUGAAAUGUCGCGCACCAACCUAGUAUGCCUUCAGUGACCACGGUUUCGCUCAUGCCCUCCCCAUUGAGACUACGGGGUGAUAAUUGGAUGCGAUGAAACGCCAUCUUCAUCAGAAAAGCCACACUCCUUGCACCAUUGCCUUAUGCUGUCCAACAUGAUGCAAUGCUGUAACUGAUGGUGAAAAAGCCACUGGCGUGUGCCUGACUCCUGGGCAGGCAGAUACCCUCCAGCUGUGGUGUUACAUUGGCAUUCAUCGAACAUGCGACUACUGCAUGGACAAGAGUCUUGCGGACCUGAGGGAGACUGACGUUUUGGGAUCUACUACACCUUUCUCUUCCCUGGUAUGCAGUGAAAAUAAAUUGAAAGUUGAAAUGAAAUAAACAAACAUACUUCUACCCUUGU
rnacentral:lncRNA from 1 species